UACGUAGGGGGCAAGCGUUAUCCGGAUUUACUGGGUGUAAAGGGAGCGUAGACGGUUAAAUAAGUCUGAUGUGAAAGGUGUGGGCUCAACCCAUAACAUGCAUUGGAAACUAUGUAACUAGAGUGCAGGAGAGGUAAGUGGAAUUCCAUGUGUAGCGGUGAAAUGCGUAGAUAUAUGGAGGAACACCAGUGGCGAAGGCGGUCGACUGGCCUAUCACUGACGUUUAGGCACGAAAGCGUAGGGAGCAAAUAGG
rnacentral:rRNA from 1 species